AAGAAGGGUCGUCGUACCCCCUUUCGGGGGCA
rnacentral:sRNA from 1 species